rnacentral:rRNA from 1 species
CAGUAGCCACGGUAAUACAGAGGGUGCGAGCGUUAAUCGGAUUUACUGGGCGUAAAGCGUGCGUAGGCGGCUUCUUAAGUCGGAUGUGAAAUCCCUGAGCUUAACUUAGUAAUUGCAUUCGAUACUGGGAAGCUAGAGUAUGGGAGAGGAUGGUAGAAUUCCAGGUGUAGCGGUGAAAUGCGUAGAGAUCUGGAGGAAUACCGAUGGCGAAGGCAGCCAUCUGGCCUAAUACUGACGCUGAGGUACGAAAGCAUGGGGAGCAAACAGGAUUAGAUACCCCAGUAGUCCCUGUCUCUUAUAC